rnacentral:rRNA from 1 species
GACGAACGCUGGCGGCGUGCCUAAUACAUGCAAGUUGAGCGCUGAAGGUUGGUACUUGUACCAACUGGAUGAGCAGCGAACGGGUGAGUAACGCGUGGGGAAUCUGCCUUUGAGCGGGGGACAACAUUUGGAAACGAAUGCUAAUACCGCAUAAAAACUUUAAACACAAGUUUUAAGUUUGAAAGAUGCAAUUGCAUCACUCAAAGAUGAUCCCGCGUUGUAUUAGCUAGUUGGUGAGGUAAAGGCUCACCAAGGCGAUGAUACAUAGCCGACCUGAGAGGGGGAUCGGCCACAUUGGGACUGAGACACGGCCCAAACGCCUACGGGAGGCAGCAGUAGGGAAUCUUCGGCAAUGGACGAAAGUCUGACCGAGCAACGCCGCGUGAGUGAAGAAGGGUUUCGGAUCGUAAAACUCGGUUGGUAGAGAAGAACGUUGGUGAGAGUGGAAAGCUCAUCAAGUGACGGUAACUACCCAGAAAGGGACGGCUAACUACGUG